AAAUUACCUCCAAUAGUUUGCUUAUCCUUUUUAAGUUCAGAAAUUUUCUUGGUUAGUUUUUCGUUAUCUUUACUUAAGGUAUGAGUUUUUUGAGUUAACAUUUGGUUGCUUGUCUUAAGUUCUAAAUUUUCUUUAGUGAUAAAAUCCUUAUCCUUAACUAUCGUAUUUAUGGAGGUGAGAUUGAUUGGUUAAUUUUAGCUCUUUAUUCUUAAGGCUUAUUGUCUUAUAUUCAUCCAUUAAUUCGUUAAACGCAUCAUAUAACUCAUCAAAUGUAAAAUCUAAAUGCGUUUCAGAUGUUACCUCAUUUUCGUUUGCCAUAAAGCAUAGAUUGGUCUUUUCUUCUUGUUCCUCCUCCGAUGAUGAAGAUGAUGUAUCGGAGUCCGAUAAGGUGGAGACGAGGACUUUCUUUUUCUUGUGCUUGCUGGCCUUCUUGAGCAAAGGACAGUCCGCUCUGAAGU
rnacentral:lncRNA from 1 species